rnacentral:rRNA from 1 species
CCUACGGGAGGCAGCAGUGAGGAAUAUUGGUCAAUGGGCGCGAGACUGAACCAGCCAAGUCGCGUGAAGGAUGAAUGCACAGAGGGUUGUAAACUUCUUUUAUCAAGGAAUAAAGUGAGGCACGUGUGCCUUUUUGUAUGUACUUUAUGAAUAAGGAUCGGCUAACUCCGUGCCAGCAGCCGCGGUAAUACGGAGGAUCCGAGCGUUAUCCGGAUUUAUUGGGUUUAAAGGGAGCGUAGAUGGGUUGUUAAGUCAGGUGUGAAAGGUUGCGGCUCAACCGUAAAAGUGCAAUUGAUACUGGCAGUCUUGAGUACAGUUGAGGUAGGCGGAAUGCGUGGUGUAGCGGUGAAAUGCUUAGAUAUCACGCAGAACUCCGAUUGCGAAGGCAGCUUACUAAACUGCCACUGACAUUGAUGCUCGAAAGUGUGGGUAUCAAACAGGAUUAGAUACCCCGGUAGUC